AUGGCAUGCAAUAUUUUAAAUAAUAAACAGCUAAAUGGUUUUUAUGAUAAAUUUUCCUAUGGGCAGAUUCCCAAAGCCAUUCCCAAUAUUGGUAAGCUACUCCCUCUGCUGGAUAAACCAGUAUGUGGCUGCCAUAUUUUAUUUCAAGUAUGGUUUACCUUUCACCCUCCCUUUUUCAAAGAAACUGACAACUUCCUCUCCUUUGGUGUUCUGAAACUUCUCCAACACAAGAAAUCCAAUCUAUCCAGUGAUAUACUGGAAUGCAGUGCCUCUGUUUAACAUUUGACAAUAUUAAUUAAAUAAGGAAGGAGUUGUAACACCUCGUCUUGCAAUCCUCAUGCAAGUACUCUUCAGUAAUGCUUUGGAAACAAUUGUGUCAAUUAUGCCAAGCAAUAGGUCUGUAAAAGUCUGGCUGUUUCUAUUACACUUUUACAAGUCUCUUAGCAAUAUGAAAGAGUCUAUCACCAAUGUUUUCACACAUUCUUCUUAAUAUCACUUUAGCCAUUUACUCUUCAUGGCAAAAUUAAUUUGGUUCCAGGGCAGAAAAAUCUUAGGCCAGCUCUUCAUCCAUAUUUAAUUCUAACAUUGUAAGAAUACAGCUACUGACUACAGUGAAGUUGUCACAUACAAGUGUGUUUGCAGGAUUACAGUUUGCCUGACUUUUAAUGAAUACUGUUUAAAAGUAUAUCUGAAUGAGAACAGACAGAAAUCAGACAGGAAGGAAAUUCUCAGAUGCAGCAGAGAAUCCUAAAUUAUUUGGACAACAUUUGGACUUCAACUUGUUUGGACAAUGUCCAAACCACAAUCUCAUCUUAAAAAGACUUAGGCAAAUGGCCAUUUUAGAACUCUAUAUCCUUAACUUUGAGACUAGGUGUAUAAAUGUUCAAAGGCCUCAUCCUAGCUUUGAUGUUCCUUAAUAAAAGAACCAGUAUCAUCUAAUUUAUCUUCACACAAGCAUACCACAACUUCAUAAAGAAAUUAAAAUAUCAUGAAAUUAAAUAAGAAAUAUGGCUAGAUAUCAGCAAGCAACAACCUCUAAAAAACAAGAAAAACAAGGACAAAAAUACAUUACACAGGGUAUUUUUUAACUGAUUCUUUUAAAAAGAGUCUUCCUUUAAUCUUACCCUUAAUUCUUUCAUUUUUAGUUCAUUAACUUAAUGUCACUGGUGCUAUAAUGCUGUUAUAGCUAUAAUGCUAUAACUUUUGCUUGGAAGUAUAGAUAUGAGCUGUUUUUUAAGUGCUGAAUCAAGAAAUACACCUCAUGCUGAUACAUCUUGUAUUUUGUUUUUCUGUGUGAGAAAGCAAAGAAUGAUCUAGAGACAGGCUCCCAGGAGAAGAACUCAGUCUACAAGGUAGCACUGCUCUGUAAUUUUUGUAAUUGGCUCAAGAUUUCUUUAUUAGCACUUCCAUGGAAAUCCUGGCUGUAAUAGCUGAUUCAAAACGGGGUCUAUUUCGGCAGCUUGAAUAUAUCAGGAUAUCUCUUAAACUUACAUUUGUGCAUUGUGCUUUUUUUGUUUAAAGGAAACUGAAAAACAGCUGCUGCAGAUUUGGUUACAAGCAGAGGUGAACAUGACAAACAGGGAGGAAAAUUUAGAAACACGGAGAAUCACCUGACAAAUUCUGAGGGCAAACCUACCAACCCUGUUUUCCCUACAGUCCUUCAUGCUCUGCUAGUUUUACUCUGACAUUUUAUGAAGUCUAUUUAGUCCUGUGCCAACAAGAAUACCUAAUCCACCAGUACCUGAAGCAUGAUCCAGUGUCAUCUUUAUGACUGACAGGCCAUUAGAAAACACGGAUUGCACCCACUGCUCUCAUGAGGAAGGAAUUACCUGGCUGGAAUUUAGAGGUUUUUCUAUAAUUAACGCUGAAGAAAUUAAAUGUAUCAGGGGAAGUGCCAGUGCAGUUCACCGGGUUCGUCUUCAUUUCAAUCCUCAUUUUAAUACAGAUUAUAAAGCAGAAUUGCUUUGUUCCAUCUUGUUUCUGUUCUUAAAGUUUUUAUAAAUCGUUUGAAGCAUGCUAGUGACAAAACGAGCAGAACAAAAUCAUGCCCCGGGCGAGCAGCGGGAGGGGUAUGAGAGGCACAACGAGCCGGGGCCAGGGCUCUGCUGAGGGGCGAGG
ensembl:lncRNA